rnacentral:rRNA from 1 species
GUUGAUACUGGUUGUCUUGAGUGCACACAAGGAAGAUGGAAUUCGUGGUGUAGCGGUGAAAUGCUUAGAUAUCACGAAGAACUCCGAUUGCGAAGGCAGUCUUCUGGGGUGUUACUGACGCUGAGGCUCGAAAGUGCGGGUAUCAAACAGGAUUAGAUACCCUGGUAGUCCGCACCGUAAACGAUGAAUACUCGCUGUUGGCGAUACAUGGUCAGCGGCCAAGCGAAAGCAUUAAGUAUUCCACCUGGGGAGUACGCCGGCAACGGUGAAACUCAAAGGAAUUGACGGGGGCCCGCACAAGCGGAGGAACAUGUGGUUUAAUUCGAUGAUACGCGAGGAACCUUACCCGGGCUUGAAUUGCAGGUGCAUGAUGCAGAGAUGUGUCUUUCCUUCGGGACUCCUGUGAAGGUGCUGCAUGGUUGUCGUCAGCUCGUGCCGUGAGGUGUCGGCUUAAGUGCCAUAACGAGCGCAACCCUUUUCCAAAGUUACCAUCAGGUGAUGCUGGGGACUCUUUGGACACUGCCAUCGUAAGAUGUGAGGAAGGUGGGGAUGACGUCAAAUCAGCACGGCCCUUACGUCCGGGGCUACACGCGUGUUACAAUGGGGGGUACAGAGGGCAGCUACCAGGCGACUGGAUGCGAAUCCCGAAAACCCUUCUCAGUUCGGACUGGAGUCUGCAACCCGACUCCACGAAGCUGGAUUCGCUAGUAAUCGCGCAUCAGCCAUGGCGCGGUGAAUACGUUCCCGGGCCUUGUACACACCGCCCGUCAAGCCAUGAAAGCCGGGGGUGCCUGAAGUCCGUAACCGCAAGGGGCGGCCUAGGGUAAAACUGGUGACUGGGGCUAAGUCGUAACAAGGUAACCA